GUCGGGUUGGUGUAGUGGUUAUCACGAUCGCCUCACACGCGAUAGGUCGCGGGUUCAAUCCCCGCAUCCGAUA
rfam:Blastocystis sp. NandII AV274scaffold_22, whole genome shotgun sequence.